GUGAGGAAUUUUGGACAAUGGGCGAAAGCCUGAUCCAGCAACGCCGCGUGGACGAUGAAGGUCUUCGGAUCGUAAAGUCCUGUCGAGUGGGACGAAAGGCGCGGACGUGAACAGCGUCCGCUCCUGACUGUACCGCCAAAGGAAGCCCCGGCUAACUCCGUGCCAGCAGCCGCGGUAAUACGGAGGGGGCCAGCGUUGUUCGGAAUUAUUGGGCGUAAAGGGCGCGUAGGCGGCGAGGUCAGUCAGACGUGAAAUCCCCCGGCUUAACCGGGGAACUGCGUCUGAAACUGCCCCGCUCGAGGCCGGGAGAGGAGAGUGGAAUUCCCAGUGUAGCGGUGAAAUGCGUAGAUAUUGGGAGGAACACCGGUGGCGAAGGCGGCUCUCUGGACCGGUUCUGACGCUGAGGCGCGAAAGCCAGGGUAGCAAACAGGAUUAGAUACCCCAGUAGUCC
rnacentral:rRNA from 1 species